CCUACGGGAGGCAGCAGUGAGGAAUAUUGGUCAAUGGACGAGAGUCUGAACCAGCCAAGUAGCGUGAAGGAUGACUGCCCUAUGGGUUGUAAACUUCUUUUAUAUGGGAAUAAAAUGUUCCACGUGUGGGAUUUUGUAUGUACCAUAUGAAUAAGGAUCGGCUAACUCCGUGCCAGCAGCCGCGGUAAUACGGAGGAUCCGAGCGUUAUCCGGAUUUAUUGGGUUUAAAGGGAGCGUAGGUGGAUUGUUAAGUCAGUUGUGAAAGUUUGCUGCUCAACCGUAAAAUUGCAGUUGAAACUGGCAGUCUUGAGUACAGUAGAGGUGGGCGGAAUUCGUGGUGUAGCGGUGAAAUGCUUAGAUAUCACGAAGAACUCCGAGUGCGAAGGCAGUUCACUGGACUGCAACUGACACUGAGGCUCGAAAGUGUGGGUAUCAAACAGGAUUAGAUACCCCUGUAGUC
rnacentral:rRNA from 1 species